GUUAGAAUUACUGGUUGUACGAACAGAGCUAUUAAAUACAAGUAUAAUAGGUUCUUUAAUUGCAGAAACGCACAACUAUGAAUCAUUGUGGCGGCGCUUCAUAUAAACAGGUCACACGCAAUAAUUGUAUCAUUCACCUCCGUUUUAACUCUUCCAUGCCGAUGGAUAUUGUUCCACUGGAAAUAAAAGGCCAUCCAAUGACCAACGAUCCGAUCGUCGAUCUUCGAUUACCAACAGAGUCGGAGAAACGGAAGAAUAAUCGACGGUAAUAAUCGGGCAAUUUGCGAAAUCUUAACUUUCGAAGGGAAUCGUGCGCGCAACGUUUGGACAAGGGCAGCGACAAAGUGGUCAUCGUAUAGCAGUUGCACCACGUGGUCGACAGAAUAUACGAAGAAUAGAAAGAACAUAUUCAGACACGUAAUUACCAGGCAUCAAAGCUUGGAAUACUUGUGAAUUCCAAGUUUAAAGGUCGUAAAAGUCAACGGCUCGUGUACAAACCUAUUCUACAUGGCGACACGACACUUAAAAUUAUGGGAAGAGGAAAUAAUACUCGUGGAAAGCGAUGACGUUACGAAAGAAAGGGAUGGUGUCAGAUAGUACGAUAUUAAAUAACCACACCCUUUUUAACGAUCUCUCGUAACUAAAUCUAUCAGGGGUCGCUUAUCGUGGCCCCCAUUGAUAACUGCUUCCGCUGUUCUUUGAUAAAGGAGCGCGCUCGAUACAGAGUUACAAGUGUUACAACGGUGUUGUUUGUAAAAAUAGGGGCUCUCAUUACGAGUAACGCUACGAUCUAGCCUAGUUUUAUCGAAUCCAUAACAGUAUUUUCUCGAUAAACGCAAUCAUCGAAGGACCGUACUUCGAUACAACAUAGACCAAACUAAAAUAUUCUGUACAGAGUGCAGGGAAUCGAAUAAAUCUCUGUUUAUCUCUAUCAUGCGUCUUACUGAAAUUUAAAUUAUACGAGGAUAACCAUUAAGCAUCGAUGCCGUUCGAAUAAUUACGAGCCGUGGAGCGUGUGUGUUCCAUAGUAACUCGUACGCGCAACAUUCAUCCGCAUUCUCAUGGAACGACAAAGCAAGAGAAACUAGAAUUGCCAAUGUAGUUGCACGUAAUUAGCAACAAAUGAUAGCCACUUAUGCAAUCUUUAUUACAGACGAUCGAUCGACGACGUGUUUGCCGGCGCAAGGCUGUAUCACGAGUGUAAUGAUAAUGGCCAGGCGCCGCCGGCGCCAAAUAAUUGUCUGCUUUUGCCCUCUUUACUCUAUCGACGAGCAUAUAUCGUCAUCCUAUCGAAGCCAGAAUACCUUUGUUUCUCGUACAGCGACGCGGAUCGGCGCGUUCCGUCGAUCGCGAAUUACGAUUAAUUAGGACGUGCCCUUUGAUGAUCACGCGCCGCAAUCGCGGCAAAGCGAACGCAAAAUGUUUUUACCGGAGAUACGCGCUCAACGAAGAGACUAAAUAACUCGAUGUGAUUUGGCGUGAUUUUUGAAAAAUAGGCAACUCGUACGAGAAGCGAAAGCAACGUCGAUGGAGAAUUUCGAAGGUCGACGUUACGUUCGAGUAAUUCGGGAAAACGUGAUCGUAACGGCGGAUAGAACACGAGGUUUUCGAGUAUGAUCCAACAGCGAGCGACUACCAACAGACAUACCGUCGAACGCCGGUGUCGUGUUUGGAUUUCACAUUCUUCCCGGUAACACAAGUGUUCUUCAUGCAAGGCGUGUCCCUGUUUCUCGCGCUGCCGACGGAUCCACGUUUCUUCCGUUUGAACGAAACAACCCAAAUCAUUCUUAUCUUUCCUACGUGGAACGACCGGCUCCCUCCACGGUUCCUCCGCGUCUCGCCGCGACGAGUCGUUUCCCUCGCGCUGGGCUCCGGAAUACGCCGCGUGACGCUAUGCGACCCCUUCGUUUAAAUUAUAAGAAAGACGACCAGGGUCCCGGUUUGUCGCGGCACUCGUCGAAAUCCGGUAGGAUUGGAAAGAGGAAGAAGGAGAAAAAAAAAAAAAGGGGGAGAAGGAAAUCCGGAGAAACGUAAAAUCUAAUCGCGGUGGAAGAUGUGUUCCAAGGAAUUAAUAAAAGAGAAAAGAAAAUGGUAUUCCAGGAGAAGAAUAAAAGAUCAUUACCGGAGGACCGAUCGUGAAAUUGUAAUCUGGGAACGUCGGGGGAAAAAGAGACGCGUGAGACGGAUGGGAGAGGAUCGGAUUGGGGAAUUUGAAAAAUUCCAUACGAAGAGUCAGAUAUCGUGAAACGAAGAUUACAUCGAAACUUGGCGAGUUACGUCGUGCGUCUACAGUGAUUUAAAACGUCGUAUAGUUUUUUAAACCUUGACGUAUAUUCGCGUCCUAUCUCGGUUUUUAACCCGUAUCGUGGUUUUUAAGAUUUACGUGUUUGCGCUUUAAAAUGUCGCGCCGUUGCAAACUCUGAUAUUUGACCGCUCCUUGCUUUACAUUCCAUUUUUGUAUUAUAUUUGGAAGAUUAGAUUCCCUUAUUUAUACUCGCAGGUACUACGAUCGCGUAUUAAUAUUGUCAAUAUUAAAUAAACGUAUUAUUUUUCUAUCGAACGUCUAACUCAAAUAAAGAUCUUACGUUAGAAAUCGAACGGCGAAGCUAAUCGUAUCGUAUCGUUUUCUACUCCAAAGUAAUUCGCCAUCUUUUAAGAAAAAUCAUUCUUUCGCAAAGAUAAUCGAUCCUAUCGAAGAUCAAACGACGAAAUCAAACAACUAUUUUUAUCGUAAUUUUUUUCAUAAUUGUACAAAAGCUUCGCAACUUUUUUAUUCCGUUUUAUUCGUCGACUGGAAACUUUGUAUUCUACGGAUUAUCCGUCGUAAGAUCUCCGUAGCGGUGUAUUAAACGCGGGCGUAUCGACAAUGAGUCGUAAAUCGCGAGUCGUGUAAUAUAUUCUACCUAGUGCACCAUGUUUAAUCGCAUUGUUCAGGCUUCGAUGACUGUGUCAUAAUUUCCAAAAGUUUAACUCGCGAUUCCCCCUAAACAGAAUGAAGCCGUCAGCUAAAUACUCGAUUUCAUGCCCGCAUUGCUCCACUUCCGUCGUCGUGCUUCCUAUUUUCCGAUGUGGCACGACGGAGACGCUGAAACGAGCUGAUGCGGGUAGGUUAACCCUCGUCAGGGUCAAUUCGACCCGACUACGUGGAACGUAGCGGCAAUAGUCACGAGAUCGAUUCUCAUACGUCCAACGUAAACGUUACUGCACGAAGAACAUGAAAUUGGUAGAAACGUUUUAACAGUUUUCUAUCGUUAAAUUAUUAUACCUUUCGUAGAAGAUCGCUUGGAAAAUACAAAUUAAACGUUGGAACCAUCAGGAUUUUCGAAGCAAAACCGGUGGUCGUUCUUGCUGUUGCAAAACGUAACUGGACCGAAAGUGCCUGUACAAUUUCACACUUUCAUCCAAGUAAUUCGAGAAAUCGAAGCGAAAUAGAAUUCUGGAAGACUUUGUAAAGUAAAAGGAUACGCAAAUUCAAUGUUAUUUCCGAAUAGGCUUACGUAGCAGCGCCUUUAAAGGUUGGUCCGAGCUAGACUCGUAGCGCCAGGCAGUCGGAGGGUCCACGGACAGAACGGUCCAACCUAUCCUAACGUAACCGGCCGACUAUCCUCUUUUUCUUUCCCUUGGUGACGGUUUCCUUGGUCGUUUCUCUUCGGUUGGCCCCGGUUCUCUCGCUCGUUUCCAAGAAACAGUUCACGGACGGUAUACGUACUAAUGGUAGAACGUGGUGGGGAAGCGUUUGUUAACCCCCGGUGUGUUGCACGCUUUCCUUCGUCUCUUUACUUAUUUAUUAACGGGUUGUUACCCUUUCACCAUGGCGAGAAACGAUUUCUUUUUCGGGCCCGUAUGCCGGGUGAUAACAAGUUACAUGUCGCUUACGAGGAAGUACAUCUUUGUUUUAUCGUUUUGUUCUCGGGUCAGACGUUGGUUAGGACCAAAUUUCCUUGCAUUCUGGUACCAUUCUUGAAGCGAGUAAUAGUACUGUUUGCAUUCCCGUCUUUUGCGGUAACGUUUGUUAAAUAAACGAAUAGUACAGAUCGUUUUGACUUUCCUUCUCCCCGGUAACGUUCUUAAAAUAAGUAACGGUAAAAAUCGUUUUAAUCGAAUACACGAUGUUGCGAAAGAAGGAAAGUUUUAUCGAAGUUUCGGCUUUAAAAAACGUCUCGUACUCGUCGACGUAACAGUAACUAACGUGACGAUCUCUGUAUCUA